rnacentral:misc_RNA from 1 species
AACGCACGAGACCUGCGGACCUGCGGAAGGAUCAUUAUAGAGUGGUAAACCUCCCGUAAAAAGGGGGGGACCUCCCGUCCUUUGCAGGCUCUUUUUUAAGGGGCUUUUUUGACUUUCUGCUUCGGUGGGGUUAUCCUACCGGAACAACUUCAAAACUCUGAAUCAAAAAAAUCGUUCUGUCCGAGGGCUUUUUUAUAAAAUAAAAAAAAACUUUCAACAAUGGAUCUCUAGAUCGGAAGA